UCAGCUCCUGAUUCUGCAGAAAACACGAAACUGAGCUGUACAAAGAUGCUGAUGAGGGGCUGCAGCAUGCAAUUCACUUCACCAGCAGUCACUAAGGUCUGAUCUCUUUUCUAACCAUACCUGGAAGAUGGAAUGCUGGACCCAGGGUAUGCAUAGAAAAUGGGAGUUAUUAGAAAAGCAGCUUUGCUUGCUUUAACCCAGGAAUUGUAUUUCUGACUAGACUUGGACUAGAACUUUCACCAUUGGCUUACCUGGUUCUCAGACUUUUAGACUUGGACUGGGACUACACCAUCAACUUUCCUUGGUCUCCAGCUUGCAGACAACAGAUUAUGGGACUUGCCAGUCUCCAUAAUCAGAAGGCUUUGACAUAUCAAUGCACCAGGGAUCUUACCAAACUAAAUUUUAAGCACUUAUAGCUCAAGAUUCUCCCUCUGAGAUGAAACAUACUUCCACCCUGUCAUGUGUCAGCUUCAGAAGAUAUCAAUUGCUCAAGAAAGUGUUGGACAAGCAGAAAAGCACACUGAACAUUUCUGGACUUGUGAAAGAGCUCUGAAUAUGGAUCUCUCAGGGAUAUUCCAUCCCCACCAAUGCUUUACCAAUGCGAGAGCUGGCCAGGCUGAGACAUUUAAUGAUAACAUGGAACAAUUUAUUCAGGAAGAUAGUCAACUACUCAUGUGGCUUUAUGAUUAUAAAACCCACUGAAAAUUGGGUCCCUUGAUUCUCUUGAUUUUUCCUAAGCCUUACUCCCUAAAGUCUCCAAUUUGAUGAGGUAUUUGAUACUUGAUCUCUCCUUGAAGUAAAAUUUGGAGCAAAAUAUAUUGGACUGGAAGGCCUGAGACCUCGAUAAGAAGAAACAUGAACCCCAGAGCCACAGGUCAGGAGGUUUUCAUUAUAAUACUAUUGCCCUCUUAAAACAAAUACUCCAAUUGCCAAGGUUUCCUCACUUAAUAAUUUAUCUCAUAUGUGUUUUUGAAAGUUACUCUGAAUACUUCUUAUAUGUAUAAAUAAGUUAGUUAACAGUAAUUAAUGCAGAUAUUUAAAUAAAUACAAGCAGGCAGGUGGGAUGAUGACUACAGUCACUUGAUAAAGAACAGCUAGGUGGCCGGGCGCGGUGGCUCACACCUGUAAUCCCAGCAUUUUGGGAGGCUGAGGCGGGUGGAUCAUGAGGUCAAGAGUUCGAGACUAGCCUGGCCAACAUGAUGAAACCCCGCCUGUACUAAAAACACAAAAAUUAGCCGGGCGUGGUGGCAGGCGCCUGUAAUCCCAGCUACUCGGGAAGCCGAGGCAGAAUUGCUUGAAACCGGAAGGCGGAGGUUGCAGUGAGCCAAGAUCGGGCCACUACACUCCAGCCUGGGCGAAAGAGCAAAACUCCGUCUCAAAAAAAAAAAA
rnacentral:lncRNA from 1 species